UACGGGGGGAGCAAGCGUUACUCGGAAUUAUUGGGCGUAAAGGGCGCGUAGGCGAUCUGAAAAGUUCUGUGUGAAAGCCCACAUGUUAACUGUGGAAGUGCACAGAAAACUGUUGGAUUUGAGUUCAGGAGAGGAAGGCAGAAUUCCCGGUGUAGCGGUGAAAUGCGUAGAGAUCGGGAGGAAUACCAGUGGCGAAGGCGGCCUUCUGGACUGACACUGACGCUGAGGCGCGAAAGCCAGGGGAGCAAACGGG
rnacentral:rRNA from 1 species